AUGAUCCCUUGGCAGACAGUACUGAGAUUAAGAAUUUACAGCACCACUUCAGAAGUUACUGAAUUCAUUGCAAGCAUCUGAGUGUCAUAAACAUUGGUCAUCAGAUGGCAACAAGCAUGGCAACUAACUAUACUUGUCUGAGGAUUCUGAGAGUCUAAAAGCAAAUAAAAUAUGUGAAAAGCUGGUGAAGCCCAUUAUGGACAGUGAAUGGAAUCAAUG